rnacentral:rRNA from 1 species
GAUGAACGCUGGCGGCGUGCCUAAUACAUGCAAGUCGAGCGAACGGACGAGAAGCUUGCUUCUCUGAUGUUGGCGGCGGACGGGUGAGUAACACGUGGAUAACCUACCUAUAAGACUGGGAUAACUUCGGGAAACCGGAGCUAAUACCGGAUAAUAUUUUGAACCGCAUGGUUCAAAAGUGAAAGACGGUCUUGCUGUCACUUAUAGAUGGAUCCGCGCUGCAUUAGCUAGUUGGUAAGGUAACGGCUUACCAAGGCAACGAUGCAUAGCCGACCUGAGAGGGUGAUCGGCCACACUGGAACUGAGACACGGUCCAGACUCCUACGGGAGGCGGCAGUAGGGAAUCUUCCGCAAUGGGCGAAAGCCUGACGGAGCAACGCCGCGUGAGUGAUGAAGGUCUUCGGAUCGUAAAACUCUGUUAUUAGGGAAGAACAUAUGUGUAAGUAACUGUGCACAUCUUGACGGUACCUAAUCAGAAAGCCACGGCUAACUACGUG